AGCGGAGUUGACUCUAGUACGAGAGGACCGUGUUGAACAAACCUCUGGUGUAUCAGUUGUGCCGCCAGGUGCACCGCUGAGUAGCUACGUUUGGAAGAGAUAAGCACUGAAAGCAUAUAAGUGCGAAACUCGCCGCAAGAUUAGACUUCUUUAAAGGGUCGUUGUAGACUACAACGUUGAUAGGCUAUAGAUGUAAAGGCAGUGAUGUCAUAGUCGAGUAGUACUAAUUACCCAUAGACUUUUUCUA
rnacentral:rRNA from 1 species